ACCUUGAAUUCACCGACGAGAUUGACACAUCUUAUCUUUUUAAUCCACAAAUCGAUUAAUUUUCGAUUAACGCCAAUAAUUGACAAACAGAAACGAAAGCCUACGAAAAUCCUUUCACAUCGCGUUUGUGGUAGUCUUCGGAAGCCUAUCUGAGAUUAACAAUUUCAUCGCGAGAUUUAUUGCGAGUCACCUCCGUGCGUUUCACGAACUAACGGUAAAUCAUUUAUCUCGCAAAAAUUGGGAUUGACGAUAAGCUCGUCGGGGAUUAGAAUGAACGGGUGUUAUCUCGUUAAUCGGCCUUCUUCGAAGGAAAAUCGUUUGGCGAAGAAGGAUCGUCGCUGCUCGAACACGGUGUUCGAAUUCUACUCGACAUUCCGUUUGCCAGUCGACCAAUUUCCUUCGUUUGACGUUUCACGCCAUGAAAACUUUUAAUCUGCCUCCUCCCGAGGAGCGGCUGGCCGAAAACGACGGUUCCGAGAAAUCGUGAAUGCAGCGGUGUCUACUUAUACGCCAUAUUUUGAGGAUUGUUACGACGGGGCGAAAGAGUACCACGGCAGGCUGUGCACUUGCCGACAUAGGCCGCGGCUGCUGGCUGGCGAUUAACAUAUAAAUCAAAUCUCGGCUGGCGGACUGUCUCGCGCAAUCCGGUUCCCCAACCUCCACCCUACAGGUUAUCCCAAAUGUUACCAUACACUGCAAUCUACGGGAAACUAGAGUAGAUUCUACGUGAAAGUCUUCGUUCUUGACAAAGCAAGGUGUGUGAAAUAUAAACAUUAAUAUAAGUUCAUAGUCUUACAGAAUUUUUAUUUCAACCAUCGCAGGUUCGGUAAUUUUAUAUUCAUACUUUACAAAUAAAUCGUAUUAACUU